rnacentral:tRNA from 1 species
GGCUUCAUAGCUCAGUGGCAGAGCGUUUGCACCGGAAUCGCAAAGGUCAUGGGUUAGAAUCCCGUUGGAGCCU